CCAGCAUGGCCAGGAUGAGGUUCUCCCAGCAGCGCGACGCCAGGCCCUUACGCAGACGGAUGAUCCACUUCCCCCCGCUCUUAUUGGCAUCGUCCUGUGGGAUAGCGACCAAACCGCACACAUCAACUCUGUCCAAGCAAUGCUUCAAACUGGCUGUGAUAAAACCACACAAACCUCCCACAUCGGUUUGAUGCCCUCCUUGAACAGGUGGAAAUCACUAUGGCCAGUCAGAUCACCUGGUCUGAUCAUAUGACUGUAAAAUCGCCAGAACUGCUCCACCUGCAUAAACAUAAAGGCAUAUACAUGCAAAAAGUGUU